rnacentral:rRNA from 1 species
GACGAACGCUGGCGGCAUGCUUAACACAUGCAAGUCGAGCGGACACUUCGUGGUCAUCGGCAGACCUCGAAUGGAGAAGGGGUGAGGUACCCUUUAGUUCGCAAUAAUUGUGUGUGACUUGAGCUAAUAACGCAUACGCCCAUAUGGGAUAGGGGUUGCUGCCGAAGGAUCGGGGCGCGUCUGAUUAGGUAGUUGGUGGUGUAAUGGCGGACCAAGGGGACGAUCAGUAGCUGGUGGGAGAGGAUGAUCUGGCACACUGGGACUGAGACACGGGCCAGACUCCUACGGGAGGCAGCAGUGGGGAAUACUGGACAAUGGGCGCAAGCCUGAUCCAGCCAUGCCGCGUGAGUGAUGAAGGCCUUAGGGUAGUAAAGCUCUUUUGUCCGGGACGAUAAUGACGGUACCGGAAGAAUAAGCCCCGGCUAACUUCGUG